AUGAUGUUCAUACUGUCUGUUCUACUGGCAGUGAUCUGUCUGCCGUGUUCUAACAGCCAGUCCAUGGAGUCCAUUCCUUCCACCUCGGUGGUGAAAAGGCCUCAGGAAAUUCUGAGUCUGUCCUGCAGAGGAUCUGGAUUUGAUUUCAGUCAGUAUGCAAUUUUCUGGAUCAGACAACCAGCAGGAAAAACACUGGAGUGGAUGGGUGGUAUUUCUGACGAUGGAGCAAGAACAGCUUACUCAAACAGUGUUGAUGGACGUAUAGAAAUCACCAGAGAAAACAGCAACAGCAUAGUGCAUCUAAAACUGUCUAACCUGAAGCCAGAGGACUCUGCCGUGUAUUACUGUGCCAGAGACGCACAGUGGUUAAUGUACCUGCAGAGGCUGUACAAAAACUCUUCACUCCUGGAGCACACUAUGAACACAGAAGCGACUAGCAGUUUGUGA